UACGAAGGGGGCUAGCGUUGCUCGGAAUGACUGGGCGUAAAGGGCUCGUAGGUGGCCAACUAAGUCAGACGUGAAAUCCCUCAGCUUAACUGGGGAACUGCGUCUGAUACUGGAUGGCUUGAGUUUGGGAGAGGGAUGCGGAAUUCCAGGUGUAGCGGUGAAAUGCGUAGAUAUCUGGAGGAACACCGGUGGCGAAGGCGGCAUCCUGGACCAAUACUGACACUGAGGAGCGAAAGCCAGGGGAGCAAACGGG
rnacentral:rRNA from 1 species